GGCCCCGUAGCUCAGUGGAUAGAGCGAGUGCUUGCGGAGCACUAGGUCGCAGGUUCAAGUCCUGCCGGGGUCG
rnacentral:tRNA from 1 species